rnacentral:rRNA from 1 species
ACCGGCAGCUCAAGUGGUGGCCAUUUUUAUUGGGCCUAAAGCGUUCGUAGCCGGUUUGAUAAGUCUCUGGUGUACUCCCGCAGCUGAACUGUGGGACUUGCUGGAGAUACUAUUAGACUUGAGGUCGGGAGAGGUUAGGGGUACUCCCAGGGUUAGGGUGAAAACCCAAAAACCCGGGAGGACCACCUGUGGCGAAGGCGCCUAACUGGAACGAACCUGACGGUGAGUAACGAAAGCCAGGGGCGCGAACCG